rnacentral:rRNA from 1 species
AUUGAACGCUGGCGGCAGGCCUAACACAUGCAAGUCGAGCGGAUGAAGGGAGCUUGCUCCUGGAUUCAGCGGCGGACGGGUGAGUAAUGCCUAGGAAUCUGCCUGGUAGUGGGGGAUAACGCCCGGAAACGGGCGCUAAUACUGCAUACGUCCUGAGGGAGAAAGUGGGGGAUCUUCGGACCUCACGCUAUCAGAUGAGCCUAGGUCGGAUUAGCUAGUUGGUGGGGUAAAGGCCUACCAAGGCGACGAUCCGUAACUGGUCUGAGAGGAUGAUCAGUCACACUGGAACUGAGACACGGUCCAGACUCCUACGGGAGGCAGCAGUGGGGAAUAUUGGACAAUGGGCGAAAGCCUGAUCCAGCCAUGCCGCGUGUGUGAAGAAGGUCUUCGGAUUGUAAAGCACUUUUAGUUGGGAGGAAGGGCAGUAAGUUAAUACCUUGCUGUUUUGACGUUACCAACAGAAUAAGCACCGGCUAACUUCGUG